ACACACUGUACUCACAUCCUGACCCCCUCAAUACACACUGUACUCACAUCCUGACCCCUCAAUACACACUGUACUCACAUCCUGACCCCUCAACACACUGUACUCACAUCCUGACCCCCUCAACACACUGUACUCACAUCCUGACCCCUCAACACACUGUACUCACAUCCUGACCCCUCAACACACUGUACUCACAUCCUGACCCCUCAAUAUACUGUACUCACAUCCUGACCCCCUCAACACACUGUACUCACAUCCUGACCCCUCAACACACUUAGACCUCACAUCCUGACCCCUCAACACACCAGGAACAGUAGACCUCACAUCCUGACCCCUCAAUACACCAGGAACAGUAGACCUCACAUCCUGACCCCCUCAACACACCAGGAACAGUAGACCUCACAUCCUGACCCCCUCAACACACCAGGAACAGUAGACCUCACA
rnacentral:lncRNA from 1 species